AGAGUUUGAUCAUGGCUCAGAACGAACGCUGGCGGCAUGCCUAACACAUGCAAGUCGAACGAGACCUUCGGGUCUAGUGGCGCACGGGUGCGUAACGCGUGGGAAUCUGCCCUUGGGUGCGGAAUAACUUCCCGAAAGGGAUGCUAAUACCGCAUAAUGUCGUAAGACCAAAGAUUUAUCGCCCAAGGAUGAGCCCGCGUAAGAUUAGCUAGUUGGUGGGGUAAAAGCCUACCAAGGCGACGAUCUUUAGCUGGUCUGAGAGGAUGAUCAGCCACACUGGGACUGAGACACGGCCCAGACUCCUACGGGAGGCAGCAGUGGGGAAUAUUGGACAAUGGGCGAAAGCCUGACCCAGCAAUGCCGCGUGAGUGAUGAAGGCCUUAGGGUUGUAAAGCUCUUUCGCGCGCGACGAUGAUGACGGUAGCGCGAGAAGAAGCCCCGGCUAACUUCGUGCCAGCAGCCGCGGUAAUAC
rnacentral:rRNA from 1 species